rnacentral:rRNA from 1 species
CGGACGGGUGAGUAACACGUGGAUAACCUACCUAUAAGACUGGGAUAACUUCGGGAAACCGGAGCUAAUACCGGAUAAUAUUUUGAACCCGCAUGGUUCAAAAGUAAAAGACGGUCUUGCUGUCACUUAUAGAUGGAUCCGCGCUGCAUUAGCUAGUUGGUAAGGUAACGGCUUACCAAGGCAACGAUGCAUAGCCGACCUGAGAGGGUGAUCGGCCACACUGGAACUGAGACACGGUCCAGACUCCUACGGGAGGCAGCAGUAGGGAAUCUUUCGCAAUGGGCGAAAGCCUGACGGAGCAACGCCGCGUGAGUGAUGAAGGUCUUCGGACCGUAAAACUCUGUUAUUAGGGAAGAACAUAUGUGUAAGUAACUGUGCACAUCUUGACGGUACCUAAUCAGAAAGCCACGGCUAACUACGUGCCAGCAGCCGACGGUAUACGUAGGUGGCAAGCGUUAUCCGGAAUUAUUGGGCGUAAAGCGCGCGUAGGCGGUUUUUUAAGUCUGAUGUGAAAGCCCACGGCUCAACCGUGGAGGGUCAUUGGAAACUGGAAAACUUGAGUGCAGAAGAGGAAAGUGGAAUUCCAUGUGUAGCGGUGAAAUGCGCAGAGAUAUGGAGGAACACCAGUGGCGAAGGCGACUUUCUGGUCUGUAACUGACGCUGAUGUGCGAAAGCGUGGGGAUCAAACAGGAUUAGAUACCCUGGUAGUCCACGCCGUAAACGAUGAGUGCUCAAGUGUUAGGGGUUUCCGCCCCUUAGUGCUGCAGCUAACGCAUUAAGCACUCCGCCUGGGAGU